CUACGGGGGGCUCCAGUGAGGAAUUUUCCACAAUGGGCGAAAGCCUGAUGGAGCAAUCCCGCGUGCAGGAUGACACCUUUCGGGGCGUAAACUGCUUUUCUGAGGGAAGAAAUUUUGACGGUACCUCAGGAAUAAGGGGCGGCUAACUACGUGCCAGCAGCCGCGGUAAUACGUAGGCCCCAAGCGUUAUCCGGAAUUACUGGGCGUAAAGCGAUCGAAGGUGGACUUGUAAGUGAGGUGUUAAAUACCUGCGGCUCAACCGAGGUGCUGCACUUCAAACUGCAAGACUAGAGGAAUGCAGAGGAAACUGGAAUUUCUGUUGUAGGGGUAAAAUCCGUAGAUAACAGAAGGGACACCAAAAGCGAAGGCAGGUUUCUGGGCAUUUCCUGACACUGCACGAUCGAAAGCGUGGGGAGCAAAAGGAUUAGAUACCCGGGUAGUC
rnacentral:rRNA from 1 species